rnacentral:misc_RNA from 1 species
AAAAAAAAAAAAAAAAAGUCCACUGAAGAUAAAUUGAGGUCUGAGAUGGAAAGGAGGGGGGGAACCCUUCCUUGUGAAUUGGUUUUGGGCUCUUUUGGAUGUGAGAUGAACUAAAUAGAUUCUAAGAAAGAAACUGAAAGUUUUGGUGUCCGAGAUACGUGGAAAGAUUUGAUGGUAACACAGAUAAGAGGCUGGAAAUUUCUUGGAGGU